rnacentral:rRNA from 1 species
GACGAACGCUGGCGGCAUGCCUAAUACAUGCAAGUCGAGCGGAGUUGACGAGAAGCUUGCUUCUCUGAUGCUUAGCGGCGGACGGGUGAGUAACACGUAGGCAACCUGCCUUUCAGACUGGGAUAACUUCCGGAAACGGAUGCUAAUACCGGAUACAUCGUUUCUUCGCAUGAAGAGACGAGGAAAGACGGCGCAAGCUGUCACUGAGAGAUGGACCUGCGGCGCAUUAGCUAGUUGGUGGGGUAAUGGCCCACCAAGGCGACGAUGCGUAGCCGACCUGAGAGGGUGAACGGCCACACUGGGACUGAGACACGGCCCAGACUCCUACGGGAGGCAGCAGUAGGGAAUCUUCCACAAUGGGCGAAAGCCUGAUGGAGCAAUGCCGCGUGAGUGAUGAAGGUUUUCGGAUCGUAAAGCUCUGUUGCCAGGGAAGAA